AGUACCAGCUCAAGACUCGCUACAGCUGACACUGGAGGGCUUGACUGUUGAGAACAUAACUCGGGAAGCUCUUAGAACGAACUGCUCAGGAGCAAAGAGCAAAAGGUCCAGAGGAAGAGGAAGGUCCUCCCUGCUUCACAGGUGGGAAAACUGGCCCGAGCUGAACGGAAGGGAUGGCCCCGCUUCUCGAGGCUGCCAACGCGGGGAUGGACUAGAUCUGAACAGUUUGCCGUUCUUGCCAUGAACCACACAGGCGGCCAGGAAGUAGGACUGAAGGGCCAACUUUCGCUCCUGGAGACCUGACGCACAACUCUGCCUCUGUCACGAAAUGGCUUUAGUUUUACUGGAGGAAACCAAGGGAAAGAACUGCUAUUCGCAGGGAUACUGUGGGUAUUAAAUUAGGCAAUGGAUAUCAAUUUGCCAGGAAAGUAUAAUGCGUUACAGAAGUGGGAGCUGUUGUUACGAAGGUGGGCCCCUCCCCUAACCAAUGAGCUGUGUUUAGGUCUCUCCCUGCCCUCCACCCCUUCCCCCCCCACACACACAGAGGUUAUCCAAGCCUGGUUAGUGGGUGCCCAGAAGCUAACUGUAAUGCCGACUCCUCCCCUUAGCCACAAUGUGCUUACUCAUGAUCUUCCCCUCCAGUUUCUUCAUGGCACAGCCAGACACUGAGCGAGCUGCCUAGAAUCCGUAUCAUCUGCGGUGCAGGAGGCAGGAAUUCUGGUGCUGCUCCAUCGCAGGCACCGGGUUCUGGAGCCCCACCCAGCCCCGUUGCAUCCCUGUGGCCCGUUUGCACGACACCGUCAGCGCCUCAGCAAGAAGCACUGUGAUGGGCCAGCCGGGCUUUGGCUCCUGGGGGCUGUUGCUCUCCGUGCCAGCUGUGCCAGGGCUGGGUCAAGACAACCUGAGCAGCAGCUGCCAUGGUCCUCCAUGAGCCACGCUGCCUCCAUUGCCAUUUCCUCUGCCCCUGUUUACCUCCCAGUCUGUCUCUGCUGUGGAGGAAGUGGCGGACACCUCCCUGCUGGGGUGGGAGCAGAGGAGGAGACAAAGUUGCAAGGUGCAUGGGGAGGGCAGGUGCCUCUAGCGCCAGGAAGCCCUGGCCCUGCCCGGGGCAGGCAGUGGGUUUGGGUAGGAGGCCUGGAGCCAUUUGACAAGGGUGCCUGGCAGGCUUUUGGCUCCCGUCCCUCACAUGUGCCACGUUAGCAUCCUGCCCACCAGCAGGAGGGAACGGCAAGAUGCUGUUUGAGGAAGAAAUAAACCCAAUCCAGCAUCUCAGACGCUUUUAAAAAUAGCAACUCCGGGAUGGUAUUUCAGCUCCUAUUUUUAUCAGAUUUGUAUGGCCGGACCGUGGAGCCGCGCGGUUCCCAGGGUUCUCAAUGGCAGGGACAUCGCUGUUGUCGUCUUAGAAACCUGCCCGCUGGCCGGGGCCACAAUGCAUUCCAGGAAGCUUUAGGCUGGGAGCGAUCCCAGAAGUCACGGCACCCAGCCCGCGUCUCUGUUCAGGGCCGCGAUCCAUUCAACACAGCGAGUUAGUUCGUGGCUUGCUUUUCGCCUUAACGUCUCUUGGUUGCCAUGACUCCACAGCAUAAUCUAGGAUUACACGGCCUUCUAGCCAGGAAGUGCUUUUUAAUAUCUAGCCCAGAUAUCGAUGGUGACAGCCCUUCUGGCCUUUUUUCACGGCAGGAAAACAGCAACCAACAUCUACCGUGCGAUGACUAUGUCCACAAAGUCCUCACAUCUAAACCCCACAAAGCCUUGGGGAUCAGCACGGCCACCACUCCUGGUUAGGAGCCCUUACGUAACUCGUCCAAGUUCAUACUUGGGUGCGGUGCAGAUCCUACGCCGGGACCAUCAGCCCACAUUGGCUCUCAAGCAGAGCGGGAAGGGGAUGUUAAGGAAUUGGUUAGUGAAGGGGACCGAGAAAGUUUUGCCUUUUGGGAUAUUGACUUUAAGCUGGUAAUUAAGGAACAAAAGGCUCAGGAAGAACCUCUUUGAUCCUCCCCGCUUUCCUGCCCAAGAGAUGCAGAUCAGAAAAUCCUGCAGUCGGGAAGGAAGUCUUAGGAUGUUCCUCUGAGCCUCAUUUGAUGUAAGUGUGAUAAAUGGGAAGGCUUGUGGGGGGCGGGGGGCGGCUGUGUCCCAUUGUUUCUGACUUGCUAGGAGAGUUUGCCGGCCCAGUGCCUUUGUGCCUGCGCGCGUUCAGCUCUUCCUCAACAACCUGUCAACCUGUCAAUCACCCAUUCUCACUUCUGAAACCUAAGACCUCAAAAGGGGGCUUUUCUCCUUUGUCCAAAGUAGUCAUAACCCAAUGACGCCUCACUAUCUUUGGAAUUUUCAUGCUUACAUGAGUUCCCCAGGUGCAUGUAUUGAAAUGUGAUUUUCUCCUGUUAAUCUGUCUAAUUUGAUUAUUCGCCCAGCUAGAAGAAUUUAGCAGGUGGGAAGGAAAGUACAUAUAUACCCCAUUAGCCUUGACUUUCAUUUUUUCAUCGUGAUCUGGAAGGAAAAACUGGCCAGUGUUUUAACUGUCCUUGUGUGCCACACGCUAGAGGCUAGAGGCUAAAUUCUGGUCCCAGCCAUGCUGAGCCCAAGGCCCCUACCUGCUGGGCCUUUGCUGUGCUGGCCAUUUGGCUGUCAAGUUUCUGCCUAGAUGUUCAGGUUCUCUCAGAAGCUCCCAGAGCCCCCUCUGCUUUCUUCAAGGCACCCACCACUCUUGUAAUUACUUUGUAAUGAAUGUCUCACUAAACUGUAAGGUCCAUGUGAGUU